AGAAUCAACGCUGGCGGCGUGCCUAACACAUGCAAGUCGAACGAGAAAGUGGAGCAAUCCAUGAGUAAAGUGGCGCACGGGUGAGUAACACGUGACUAACCUACCCUUGAGUGGGGGAUAACCUAGGGAAACCGUGGGCUAAUACCGCAUAAUACCUUCGGGUCAAAGGAGCAAUUCGCUUAAGGAGGGGUCGCGGCCGAUUAGUUAGUUGGCGGGGUAAUGGCCCACCAAGACUGUGAUCGGUAU
rnacentral:rRNA from 1 species